AGAGAAGGCCAGACGGUCGCCGGCCGCCACGCGCGGCGGGAGGAAAGUCGGGGCUCCACAGGGCAGGGUGCUGGGUAACACCCAGGGGGGGCGACCCCACGGACCAGUGCCACAGAAAGCAGACCGCCGUCCGCGAGGGCGGUAAGGGUGAAACGGUGAGGUAAGAGCUCACCAGCGGCGCGGGUGACCGCGCCGGCUCGGUAAACCCCACCCGGAGCAAGGCCGAAUAGGAGCGCAACGAGGUGGCCCGCCUCGCGCUCGGGUCAGGCCGCUGGAGACGCCGGGCAACCGGCGCCCUAGAGAAAUGACCGUCGGGAGCCAGCAGGCUCCAACAGGACCCCGCUUAUCGGUCUUCUCUGGCG
rnacentral:RNase_P_RNA from 1 species